rnacentral:rRNA from 1 species
CACGUAGGGGACGAGCGUUGUCCGGAUUCAUUGGGCGUAAAGCGCGCGUAGGCGGCCCGGCAAGUCGGAUGUGAAAACCUGGGGCUCAACCCCAGGCGUGCACCCGAUACUCCCGGGCUGGAGGCAGGUAGGGGAGAUCGGAAUUCCUGGUGUAGCGGUGAAAUGCGCAGAUAUCAGGAGGAACACCGGUGGCGAAGGCGGACCUCUGGGCCUUGCCUGACGCUAAGGCGCGAAAGCGUGGGGAGCAAAAGGG